AUACCUUUCUCGGCCUUUUGGCUAAGAUUAAGUGUAGUAUUAUCAGUUUAAUUUUUUUUGGUGGCUAUACCUUUCUCGGCCUUUUGGCUAAACUCAAGCAUAGUAUCUCUUCUUACCAAUUUUCUUUUUUGUUGGCUGGGAGCUAUUAU
rnacentral:snRNA from 1 species